AACGAACGCAGGCGGCGUGCCUAACACAUGCAAGUCGUGCGAGAAAGUUCCUUCGGGAGCGAGUAAAGCGGCGCACGGGUGAGUAACACGUAGGUAACCUGCCCCCCAGUCUGGAACAACUAGAGGAAACUCUAGCUAAUGCCGGAUGAGACCACGAUCCCUUCGGGGGUUGCGGCCAAAGAUGGCCUCUACUUGUAAGCUAUCGCUGAGGGAUGGGCCUGCGGGCCAUUAGCUUGUUGGUGAGGUAACGGCUCACCAAGGCUGUGAUGGCUAGCUGGUCUGAGAGGAUGACCAGCCACACUGGGACUGAGACACGGCCCAGACUCCUACGGGAGGCAGCAGUGGGGAAUAUUGCGCAAUGGGCGAAAGCCUGACGCAGCGACGCCGCGUGGGUGAUGAAGGCC
rnacentral:rRNA from 1 species